rnacentral:lncRNA from 1 species
AUGGCUCUCCAGGGCAGCUUGGGGCCGAGCAGACACGGGUGUGCCGGCCUGGCCUGGUGGGGAGCGGAGCCCGGUGCUGCCCACACCUCACCCCAGCUGCAGUUGAGCCUGGAGGGUCAGCUUUCUGCUGCUGCUGUCUUUCUGCAGCUGGUGGGCCUGGGGAGACGAAGCUCAGGGAGCAGGUCCCGAGCACACCUUGGGGUAAAGCGGGUGCUGUCGGGCUGGAAGGGGCCCCCAGGAGCUACCCGAGCCCUGCACGCUGGACCACCCGGCGGCGUGAUCCCCUUUGGCUGCCCAAUGGUUCUUGGGGGUGGUGGGCAAGGCAAAGCCCCUGCCGCUGGGCGCCUGGGGGCAGAGCGGGUGCUGGGGGCGCGCUGUGCCCAUCCCCGAGCCCCCAUCACCGAGCCCGAACCCCCAUUCCCGAGCCCCCACCCCCAAGUCCCCAGCCCCAUCCCCGAGCCCCCAUUCCCGAGCCCCCAUCCCCUUGCUCCCACCCCAGCCCCAAGCCCCCAGCCCCACCCCCGAGCCCGCAGCCCCCCUCCCGGUGCCGCCGCCGCCCCCCACCCUGCGGCAGGCGCCGCCCCCUCCCCUCCCUUUCCCUUCCCUUUCCCUCCCCUCCCCUCCCGGCCCCUCCCGGCCCCCCCUCCCCGCUCGCCUUUGUGCAGCCGCCGCUCGCCGCCCGUCGCCGCCCGGCCCGGAGCAGCGGGGGGCGCCGGCCCCAGCCCCUCUCCCCCCCACCCCCGGCGAACUCAGGUGGGUCCGAGGGAUGGGGGGCACAUCCUCACGCCCCCCAGCAUCCCCCCAGCGCCUUUCGGCUGCCCGCCACCCCCUCGGGGGGGCAGCCGAGGGGGGCCGGGGCCGUGCCCCCGGGGGUCGCCGUGCGCCACGGGGGAGCCGUCGGUGCCCGGGGCAUCUUCGUGUGCCUCGGGCCCCCAGCAUCCCCGGCCCGGCGGCUGCCAUGGUAACGGUGGCACCGAGAUCCCCUCGUCGCCUGGAUCCCGACCCCCCCACGGGGAGGAUGCUCGGGCACGGCCGUGCCCACCGGAGAGCACCGCGGGCGCGCCCUGGGCGUGCGUCGCCUCCGCCGGGCUCCGUGGGGAUGGUGGGGACAGGGGAGGGGGCUCCCCCCCGCUGGCAGCGUUUGGGUUGUGUUUUUAA